CAGCUAAUCAGGUUCAGAUAGCACGGAAACCCUGCUCUGAGCAGAACGCAGCAUCCUGUUGGAGUGAUAGCUGCUAAAAUUGGCUGACAGAGUACUGGGAAGUUGCUUCUGUACCAACAACUUGUAUAUGCUGCAGCUGAGCAGAUGAUGUUAAUUGCAGCUGAAUGCAGGGUAAAGGCUUGUGUUGUUCUGGGAGUGCUAUUUCAGGUUUAUGUUCCCAAUAAAGCCAAUGUCAGUUGUGCUGAUGGAAUACAACUGGAAAGCAUUUUGGAGAGACAGGAGGACAGUGCUGUGUACUAUUGAUGGCUCCAGCCCAGUAAAGGAAUCCUAUUUGCCUCAAGUCCAUGUUUGUUGCAGGGAUAUUAGCACCAUCAAGCUGAUACAGUGACAUUUGGCUUGUAGCCAUACUUCAGCUAGCUGGGACGUAUGGCUUCUCCCAUGACCAGGGAAGGUGGCUGACCUGCAGCUUUGAGGACAGCCAGUCCUGUUGCCACUGGGUGGAGAAAUGAGCACCUUCCACGCUCCUGUGAAGAUGCAAUUGGCAGAGCAGAUGUCCUGAACCCAUUGGUGUUUGGCCCAGGUCUCCAUGAUGAUACUUUUCUGGCACCACUUGUAAGUCUGAUCCAGACCCACAGUCAGCACUGAGGGAUUUCACUGCCCUUCAAACCUCAGAUGUCUCAGCGGUCUCUGACCCAGUCAUCAUCUUGCUCAGACCCCCCUUCCUAUCCUGGUGGCAAGCCAGGCACUGCCACGACGUGUCCCAGCACCUCACUCCCUGCAGUAAUGCCUGGGGCUGGAAGACAGCACUGCUUUGGACGGGAAUGAGACCUUGCUAUGGAGCAAACAGAAGUCAAAGGCAGGAGACCACAGCAGUUUCUAGAGCUGCAGUAGCAGGCUAAGGUCUUCCAUGAACAGCACAAGACACUCAGUUGUCAGAAUCCCUUCUGAGGAAAAGACAGAGCCUAAAUCAUGUAAAUGGUCUCAUGGAAGUGAUACACUGCAUGGGGAAGGAAAAAUGAGGCUUCUGCUUCAGCUUGCAGAUUGAUGACUUAAAUGCCACUAAGAAAAUCAGCCCCGUGUAAACCCCGUUAAUCGCAUCUCCCUUGGAUUUGUGCCAGGAGGGAAAGAAUGUGUUCCUCCAAAAUGAUGCAACAUCUGCAAACAAUUAGUUUCUCCUGUUAGAGAGUUAACAUUAUUUCAUAUUUCUGCCUUUUUUUUUCCCUGUUAGAAUAACUUCUACCAUGUGCAGAAAAAUUUCUGGAAAACUAGUCUUCCCUGAAUGCUUAGUUGGGUCAUUUUAAUAACACUCCAUCAAGACCAAGAAGUAGUCAUUUGAUUUAAGCAGGGAACUCUGUCUCCCUGCCUGGGAGAGUAAUGCAAAUGCAAAACAAAGAGGGGAAAAGCAGAAUGAAUAAUAACUCAGGCUUUUUGGAGUGGAUAUAAGAUGUUGAUGAAGCAUGCAGUGACUGUGAACUAGGACAGCGUGACUCAAGUCGGAUGUCUGGUUCCUGGCCCAGAGCUCACUUGUGUGGGGCUGAAACUGCAGCUGCUUUCUCUUCUGCAGUCCCUUCUGCAUUUUUUGGAAUAUAUAUAUAUAUAUAUUUAUAUUUUUUUGGUCUUCCUCUGAAAUAAGGGGUCAUUCUCUCUUAAUCCACAGUAUCCACCUCUGGUAUGGGACAAGGAUUUUAAAGCCCCUCUCAGAAAGAGCAGGGAUUGAGAGUCCUGGUGUCUGGCUGGCGUCCUCACUUAGAGGAACAGUUUAGCAUUAAGGACCAUGAUGGAGAUGUUACUAAGGGACCACAGUGCGCAUACUCUGUGACCUACCAGUUUAUAACUAAUUGCGUUAUAUUUUGCUUUGAGAUAGGAUGGGUAAACACACGGCCUACAAAUCCAAUUUCUGUUCUAUAUUUGAUCCUCAGAACAACCAAUCUUCUCUGUACACUGCAAACCCUGUCCAUAAUGUUAUCCUCUCCUGAUCUGUUGUUGGUAAUUGGGUUUCCUUCCAAGUAUUUAACUGGCAUUUUUUUUUACCCUAGUGAAACUCAUAGAUGAAUAAUGCAGGAAUAUUUUCAAAGCCAGCCUAUGCUCAGUUUGCAGUCCUACUUCCUUUUGCCUGCUGUAUUCAAGACUUUUAGCACUUGCUGGUGUUUUUCAUUCAGCUCAGUGAGCAAUGUUCAGAGUCAGGCCUUAAAGUGUGGAGGUAAAGCAAUCUCAAAUGAUGAUCUUUGACUAACAAGACUGAAGGAUAGUGCGUCAGAAAAGAAUCUGGUAAAACUCAGUUAUGUAUCUCUCAUGGACCAGGGAAGCUGUUACUGCUUCUGUAAUAGUAGUUUUCACAUGGAGGAUUUCUGAAUGAGGCAGACGGCUGAUGUGAAAUUUUCAUGGUGAUUUUCCCUUUCUCUACAGCAGUCUGUGUUGUCCAUGUCAAAAUGAAGCAGGAUACAGAGCUCUUAGAUAACUCUGUAGAAAUCACUGGAAGGAACUCAUUUUUUCUAGGCAAGUAAGCAAAUAGAUCUUCCUCAAAAAAUAGUCACGAGUACCUACCUUAUCAGGCAUGGCUCUUGAUAUUCAACAGAAGCCUUACCUAACACCCCACAUCUAAACAUCUCCCAGGCUUCUCAUUCAUCGAAUUCAGAUACAAGUAUUAUAGCACGAGCCCAGCUAUCUCCAAACUGUCCAUUCUUUAUUUCUUGCACUAAUUAACAGUAGAUAUUUAGAAAACCACUCCAUUUUUCUGAGCUUCAAAUGUUAAACAGUAUUAAAAAUAGUUUGCCAGCUUUGCCAUCUGUUUGAUGUGGUAGGAGCUUCGCUAAGAGGGGAAAAGGAAAUAAAUGUGUGUGUGUGCAUAGGCCUGUGUUGGAAAGAAAAAGCGAGUGUCCUUGACAAAGAAUCCUAACAGAAAUUAAAACUGCCUGAGCUCUCCAGACCCUGCCUGUGUUAGGCAGUGAGGAACAGGACAGAUUUUUCACUUUGAAUGGCCAGAGUGCUGCAGCCCUGCUGGUUCACACUUACCUUCGAGCUGUGGCGCGGCUGGGCAACAUUUGUUUCAACAUGGCACCUACAUGAAACGUACCAGUGGGAUUUGUCUGACGUAGCUCAAAACGUCUACGUGCUAGAUGUCUCAUCCAUGUUGCUCAGCUAGGCACCUGCUAUUGCUGGUAGAGGACCACUUCCAAAGGGAAAGUCAGCCCACGUGUCUCCAAAAUCCAGUCUAAGAUGGGAUGAAUCAUCCUCUGGAGAUACCGCCUGCCUCCCCAGUGCCUGUGGGGGAACCUACAUGACUAGCUUGGAGCAGUCACCACUGACUUUUAGAUGACUGUGGUUUACGUUUAAGUGGGGUGAAUCCCGUUAGUUCCCUAAUUAUGUAAGCUACCCUGAAAAGAGAAACAGGAGCCAGACAGAGCUGAUGCAUCAGGAUCCUGAGGCAUGUGGUUGUAUGGCAAGCUGCAACUCCCAUCCUUUAUAACAUUCCUGAACAGAAAGCUACGAGAAAGGAUAUUUUUCUCUUUUUAGGAAAAUGUCCAUGAUGCAAUGACAUGUGUGACUCCCCUAGGGCAAUCUUGGACAUCCAUUGAGAGGGACAGUAUGAGAGAGGUGGUCUCUGACACUAUAAGUAAGGAUCUCAUCACUUUAUAGAGUUGUUGGGGUUGUAGAGGAAAGAGGU